GCAUUGAGGGAAAUGUGAGUGAGUAAAACUUACCUGCUGCAACUAAUUAUGUUUCUGCCCACUCAGCUCUGAUGGAUUUACCAUGGUUCCACCAAAUGAAUCAAGACGGAGCAAAAUGCAGAGGAUUGCUCGAACAGAGGAGGAGAACUAUAACAGAUGGAAGGAGGAACAUCGGCCUGGCCCCAUUAACCUGGCCCCUGAGACGCUAGGUGGCGGUGUAUCCUUGGCAGAGGUGAGGCAGAGACAGCAGAUGGAGGUCCGCCAAUCAAAAGUAGAGAAAAAGGUUUCCACUUUCUGUUUAGAACUGGAUAUUCACACUGCAAAAGACUCAUGCUUAUAAUUACAGUGUACUAAAGUGUCAUGUUCUCUAGAUCCGAAAAGAAGAAAUGGACAGAAUCAGGAGAGAGGAAGAAGAAGAAAAGAAUCAGAGGAUGAAGGCCAUUCAAAGGGAGAAGGUACUGCAUUAUGGAAAACUCUUUUUCUGUUUUCUGCCAUGCUUUAAUUUACAAAACUUGUAA
rnacentral:lncRNA from 1 species